AAAUUACUCCCUCCGUUCGAAAAAUUUUGUCCCUAAAAUAAAUGUAUCUAUCACCAAGUUAGUGCUAGAUACAUCAAUUUGAUGAAUAAGUUUGAGACAAGCUUUUUCAGACGUAGGGAGUAUAAG
rfam:Triticum urartu cultivar G1812 contig770398, whole genome shotgun sequence.